rnacentral:rRNA from 1 species
ACGGAAGGCAGCAGUGGGGAAUAUUGGACAAUGGGGGAAACCCUGAUCCAGCGACGCCGCGUGGGUGAAGAAGGCCUGCGGGUUGUAAAGCCCUUUCGGUAGGGACGAAAGCCUCCGACCUAACACGUCGGGGGGUUGACUUAACCUACAGAAGAAGCACCGGCUAACUCUGUGCCAGCAGCCGCGGUAAUACAGAGGGUGCGAGCGUUAAUCGGAAUUACUGGGCGUAAAGCGCACGUAGGCGGCUUGGUAUGUCGGGUGUGAAAUCCCCGGGCUCAACCUGGGAACUGCAUCCGAAACUGCCUUGCUCGAGUAUGGGAGAGGGAAGUGGAAUUUCCGGUGUAGCGGUGAAAUGCGUAGAUAUCGGAAGGAACAUCAGUGGCGAAGGCGACUUCCUGGACCAAUACUGACGCUCAGGUGCGAAAGCGUGGGGAGCAAACAGGAUUAGAUACCCUGGUA